rnacentral:rRNA from 1 species
AACCUGGUUGAUCCUGCCAGUAGUGUAUGCUUCUCCUAAAGACUAAGCCAUGCAUGUCUUCGAAUAAGAGGAAGCAAUUCUCUCUGAAUCUGCGAACGGCUCCGCAAACCAGUUGUAAACUAUAGCAAGCAUGCCUGGGUUCCCUUCACGGGGAGCUUGGGCGAUACGGAUAACCCUGGUAAUUCUGAGGCUAAUACGAGAACGCAAUCCUUGGCUGACCGGGCAACUGGGAGGCUGAGAGGCGUGCAAGUUGUGUCGCGAGAAAUCGCCGGGAUUGGAUGCACGCCUGGACCGCGCCAAAGACAGAUGAGUGUCCCUGACCCUCACGGGAAGGGGAUGCUUGCCUGAGCGGCUCUUGCAAUGUGCUUCUGACCUAUCAACUAGACGGCAGCGUAAAGGACAUGCUAUGGUUACAACGGGUACAGAGGAUUAGGGUUCGAUCCUGGAGAGUGGGCCUGAGAGAUUGCUCAUACUUCUAAGGAAGGCAGCAGGCGCGCAACGUUCCCCUUGUGCAAUGCAUGAGGGCGUUAGGGGACAUAUGGAUGCCUGCC